AUUGAACGCUGGCGGCAGGCCUAACACAUGCAAGUCGAACGGUAACAGGAAGAAGCUUGCUUCUUUGCUGACGAGUGGCGGACGGGUGAGUAAUGUCUGGGAAACUCCCUGAUGGAGGGGGAUAACUACUGGAAACGGUAGCUAAUACCGCAUAACGUCGCAAGACCAAAGAGGGGGACCUUCGGGCCUCUUGCCCUCGGAUGUGCCCAGAUGGGAUUAGAUCGAAGGUGGGGUAACGGCCCACCUAGGCGACGAUCCCUAGCUGGUCUGAGAGGAUGACCAGCCACACUGGAACUGAGACACGGUCCAGACUCCUACGGGAGGCAGCAGUGGGGAAUAUUGCACAAUGGGCGCAAGCCUGAUGCAGCCAUGCCGCGUGUAUGAAGAAGGCCUUCGGGUUGUAAAGUACUUUUGUCGGGGAGGAAGGGAGUAAAGUUAAUACCUUUGCUCAUUGACGUUACCCGCAGAAGAAGCACCGGCUAACUCCGUG
rnacentral:rRNA from 1 species